UGUUCCGUGGCUUAGUAGGUUAAAGCGCCGGACAAGCGAUACGGACACGUGGGUUCGAAUCCUAUUGAAGCAA
rnacentral:tRNA from 1 species